rnacentral:misc_RNA from 1 species
UCCACGUUCAUCAACUGCAUGAUGGUCUUCGGUACCGCGUUUUUUAUUCCAAGAUAAGCCACCACAUCCACGAAUCUCUUAUGCAGCUGCGGUGUCCACACAAGACGUGGCCGUUUCGGCGUCCUCGCAGACGGAUCGUCGCCGGAAUUUUCCGUUCUCAAAGCCGAAUCCGCUUCUUCCGAAUCGAUUUUCCUCAACUUCCUCGACUCGGACCCCGAACCAUCCGGAUCCAUAUUGUUCUCCUCCGGCUCCGGCUCCGGCUCCACGACCAUCGAGUCACGAGCUCGGUCUUCA